rnacentral:rRNA from 1 species
UACGUAGGGUGCAAGCGUUAUCCGGAAUUAUUGGGCGUAAAGAGCGUGUAGGCGGCCAUACAGGUCAGCUGUGAAAACUCGAGGCUCAACCUCGAGACGUCGGUUGAAACCGUAUGGCUAGAGUCCGGAAGAGGAGAGUGGAAUUCCCGGUGUAGCGGUGAAAUCCGCAGAUAUCGGGAAGAACACCCGUGGCGAAGGCGGCUCUCUGGGACGGUACUGACGCUGAGACGCGAAAGCGUGGGGAGCGAACAGG